ACCGUACUCCUACGGGAGGCAGCAGUGGGGAAUUUUGGACAAUGGGGGCAACCCUGAUCCAGCAAUGCCGCGUGAAUGAAGAAGGCCUUCGGGUUGUAAAGCUCUUUUGUCAGGGAAGAAACGGUAGUAGCUAAUAUCUAUUACUAAUGACGGUACCUGAAGAAUAAGCACCGGCUAACUCCGUGUCAGCAGCCGCGGUAAUACGGAGGGUGCAAGCGUUAAUCGGAAUUACUGGGCGUAAAGCGCACGCAGGCGGUCUGUUAAGUCAGAUGUGAAAUCCCCGGGCUCAACCUGGGAACUGCAUUUGAAACUGGCAGGCUUGAGUCUUGUAGAGGGGGGGUAGAAUUCCAGGUGUAGCGGUGAAAUGCGUAGAGAUCUGGAGGAAUACCGGUGGCGAAGGCGGCCCCCUGGACAAAGACUGACGCUCAGGUGCGAAAGCGUGGGGAGCAAACAGGAUUAGAUACCCCAGUAGUCCUUGAC
rnacentral:rRNA from 1 species